UUAUAUGUUUUUAUUUUAUUUUUAAACUUGUUGCUCUUACCAGACCUUUAAAACAAAUACAUGAAGACUUGUAGAAAUAACUAUAAAAUGAGUGACAGUUCUGAGUAUUUGGGCUUUAAUGAGUUUUAAACGAAUUUAUGCAAUUCUCAUAAGAAGACAAUAGUAUUGACAUGUUGACAUUUGGCAUGUAAGCUAUUUUUAUAAGACAAGAGUAGUGAGUAGGUGGAGAUGUUGUUGCUGCCUUUGUGUCUAUCGGGAGUGUCUCUUGUAUCUCUUGGUGUAACUGUGUUUGUUUAUCUUUUAUUUGAUGGGUAAUAUGUAAACAAAAAUCAUUGUUAGUAGUAUUUAUCAGAGUUCGUAAUUUACUCUGCUAUUUUGUUUAGGUAAGUUCACUGAUUUUGGUUGCCGUCUUCGUCUUCUUCGUUGCGAAAGUAAGUUUGUAAAUUGUUAAAUAGCUGGUUGUAUAGUUUGUAUUUUUUUAGCUGGCUUGAUGUAUGUGUCGUUGAGUUUUAGUUGAGGUGAUUUGUUUGGUAUAUUUGUUUUGAAGUUUAUUUCUAAGAUUAGACAAAAAAGAGAGGUAAUCAUUAAUGAUUCGUCUUUUUUGGAAUUCUAGUUUUUGGUGUUUUGAUUGUUUGGGUUCUUGUGGUUUAUUUUAAGCUGUAAAAUAAA
rnacentral:lncRNA from 1 species